rnacentral:rRNA from 1 species
GACGAACGCUGGCGGCGUGCUUAACACAUGCAAGUCGAACGGAAAGGCCCUGCUUUUGUGGGGUGCUCGAGUGGCGAACGGGUGAGUAACACGUGAGUAACCUGCCCUUGACUUUGGGAUAACUUCAGGAAACUGGGGCUAAUACCGGAUAGGAGCUCCUGCUGCAUGGUGGGGGUUGGAAAGUUUCGGCGGUUGGGGAUGGACUCGCGGCUUAUCAGCUUGUUGGUGGGGUAGUGGCUUACCAAGGCAUCGACGGGUAGCCGGCCUGAGAGGGUGACAGGCCACAUUGGGACUGAGAUACGGCCCAGACUCCUACGGGAGGCAGCAGUGGGGAAUAGUGCACAAUGGGCGGAAGCCUGAUGCAGCAACGCCGCGUGCGGGAUGACGGCCUUCGGGGUGUAAACCGCUUUCGCCUGUGACGAAGCGUGAGUGACGGUAAUGGGUAAAGAAGCACCGGCUAACUACGUG